UGGGGAAUAUUGCACAAUGGGCGCAAGCCUGAUGCAGCCAUGCCGCGUGUAUGAAGAAGGCCUUCGGGUUGUAAAGUACUUUCAGCGGGGAGGAAGGCGAUAAGGUUAAUAACCUUGUCGAUUGACGUUACCCGCAGAAGAAGCACCGGCUAACUCCGUGCCAGCAGCCGCGGUAAUACGGAGGGGGCAAGCGUUAAUCGGAAUUACUGGGCGUAAAGCGCACGCAGGCGGUCUGUCAAGUCGGAUGUGAAAUCCCCUGGCUCAACCUGGGAACUGCAUUCGAAACUGGCAGGCUAGAGUCUUGUAGAGGGGGGUAGAAUUCCAGGUGUAGCGGUGAAAUGCGUAGAGAUCUGGAGGAAUACCGGUGGCGAAGGCGGCCCCCUGGACAAAGACUGACGCUCAGGUGCGAAAGCGUGGGGAGCAAACA
rnacentral:rRNA from 1 species